GUGUUGUAUGAAAGGAGAGAAGGUUAGCACUCCCCUUGAUAAGGAUGGAAGAGGUCCUAGGAUGGAAUGGGUGCCCUCAUACUAGGGAAUUGGAAUGUUCCCCUUCUUGUAAUCAGGUUAGUAAACCUUUAU